rnacentral:sRNA from 1 species
CUUGCCACGAUAUAUUUUUAUUGGAUUGUUUAUAAACUUGAAGUUCAACAAGGAAGGUCAACAAAGAUUGCAGCUUUACAUGGCAACUACACGAGCAUGGUGCAAGCAGUCGAUUCGACUUGAUUCAUACUUAUUUUUUCCACCGUUAAAUCUUGAAUUAAUCAUGAGUAUGGACCUAGAACUGCAACGUAUUUUGGAAAUAUCAGACAAUGAUUCCAACAGUGAUUACAAGUACAAGAACCUCCUCAAUGACGAAUACAGGCAAAAACAUGUGAAUGAUAUCCUGAAGAUUUUAAGAUGCUUUUGAUGAAAACUGCUUGGAUUUCCAAGAAAUUUCCAUUCCCAAUCACCCCAAACAGAGACGAGAAUGGA